rnacentral:rRNA from 1 species
GACGAACCGAGCGAACGUUAUUCGGAAUCACUGGGCUUAAAGGGCGCGUAGGCGGGCGGCCAAGUCAGGGGUGAAAGCCUCCAGCUCAACUGGAGAAGUGCCUUUGAUACUGGUCAUCUUGAGGGAGGUAGGGGCGUGCGGAACUUCCGGUGGAGCGGUGAAAUGCGUAGAUAUCGGAAGGAACACCGGUGGCGAAAGCGGCGCGCUGGACCUCUUCUGACGCUGAGGCGCGAAAGCCAGGGGAGCAAACGGG